CGCAGAGCCCGCCCGGAGCUGGCGCAUGCGCAGAGCCCGCCCGGAGCCGCUUGUUUUCCCGUCGUUCCCUUGCUUCUGGAUUGCUUCAAUGAGCCAUAAUGAUGCUGACUGGCUGCCUGAGUGCUGCAAUUCUAGCUCGAUGGGGUUUAAGUAUUGUUGGGACUCCUCUAAUUGGUGGUGUGAGGCCUGUGGAGCAGCUAAUGGAACUUCACGACUAUGCUGACUACACCAGGGUCUUACGGUCAUUUCUGUUUCACCAGCAGAUCUGGGUGGCAGCAGAGAGCUGCAGCGCUUCCGAGUGCUGUAACGACUGCACGGAGAGAAGUGCGGGUCUUCACGGGAACAGCAAGGAACCGAAAGCUGCAUUUCCUGGGAUGCCCUGGAACCCCACUUUGCUGACUGGUAAUUGCCUGCCCAGCAGGUGGCAGCAGAGAGCUGCAGCGCUUCCGAGUGCUGUAACGACUGCACGGAGAGAAGUGCGGGUCUUCACGGGAACAGCAAGGAACCGAAAGCUGCAUUUCCUGGGAUGCCCUGGAACCCCACUUUGCUGACUGGUAAUUGCCUGCCCAGCAGGU
ensembl:lncRNA